GUCUAUUUCAGGGGCCCAUCACACUACCAAGCCCCCUCUGUCUCUGUCUCUGUCUCUGCCUCUCUCUCUCUCUCUCUCUCUCUGACGUUGCGUUCUGAGUUGAACCCAUUUCACUCAUUCUCAUCCUUCUCGUACCCCCAAAAGGUAUAACCUGAUCCUUACCGUUGAAUUUUCAGCGUCAAAACAAAUAUGAAUGGAAAAUCCUUUUCAAGUAUGAGCAUCAGUCAUCACUCAUAAUUACAAAUGGGCAUCAAUUCUCUAUGCUACUCAUCGACAGUUCAAUCUUAUCAAGUAAUAAAGCUGAUGGCUUGAUUCGUUUGACACCUCUCGCCUGAAAAGGUUAGGGUUUUCUUCUUUAUCUUCUGUGACUUGACCACAAUACGAUUUGGCGCUCUGAUAUUUUGGACUAAUGAAGUUGGAAUUUUAAUUUAAUUUUAGCAUAAUAUCCAUCUGGGCUUGGAUUUUUUCUCUCCAGAUCAUGCUUGGGCUUUAAUUCAAUUCAUUAGAGACAUGUUUCAGGAUUGGAUUUAUUGACUAAGCCAAUCUGGGUUUUGAUUUAUUUGAACAGUAAAUAAUAGUUUUUUGUUGUCUGAAUGCUUGGAAAAGCUUUGAUUACAAUAUGCUCUUGACCACUCUAUUAAAUAUAGUUCAGGUUUUGACUCAGUUUUUAGGAGCAAUGUUUGGGUUUCAUGUGCUCGAGUAAAAUCAGGAAAUUGAGGACCUCGAAGAUUAAGGUGGUAUACACAUCUUGUAAUUCUUUUGCAUUGGGGUCAGCAAUUCCCAAUGGGGGACGAGACACAAAGUACAGUGAAUCUUGAUCUCAAUUUAGGACCUCUUGACAAUUUGAAUAAUGGUGGUGAGCCUGGCUUAGGAUCUUAUCCUAAUGUCCCCAUAAACUUGGAGGAUUGGUUAGAUGGUCCUGUUAAUAGGCUUAGGGAAGCUGUCUGGCUGAGGAGUGAGCAUUUGCGGUCAUUGUUGAGGCAGGUUCCGAUCCCCCCUGAAACUAGAAACCUUGCAUUAGAACUAAUUGGCGGGAGUGGAUUGCAGACUGGCGAGGGUAGCGUUGCUGCUGAGGAAAGACCUACAGAUGUUGCCAAAAUGUGUGAGAAUGGCAGUGGUUAUUUGGAAGGUGAGGAUCUGCGUAAAAAGGAAGAUGGUGUAAAAACUAACAGUUAUGAAGGAAGCUUUUUCAAUUGCAAUAUAUGCUUGGACUUGGCAAAGGACCCUGUUGUAACCUGCUGUGGUCACUUGUUCUGCUGGCCAUGUCUAUACCAGUGGUUACAUCAUCACUCCGAUGCCAAGGAGUGUCCCAUUUGUAAGGGAGAGGUUACCGUAAAGACGGUUAUCCCAAUUUAUGGCCGUGGUAACAAUAAACGGGAGCCUGAGGUAGAUUCUAAUCUAAAUAUUCCUCUCAGGCCCCAAGCACGGCGCGUUGAGAGCUGGAGACAGACUAUUCAGAGGACUGCAUUUUCUAUUCCAAUGGAGGAAAUGAUUCGACGUCUUGGAAAUACAUUUGAUUUGAGCCAGGAAUUGGUCCAGAUACAGUCACAAAAUUUUAAUGGUCCUCGUGAAUUGCCAGAGAGAAGUAACUCGUUAAUCAAUCGAAUUCUGACCUCUAGAGGAAUGCGUAGAGAACGAACCCCAGCACUGCCACCUGUCGAAGUUGAGCUAACAGAAAGCAGCCCAGCUACCUCAGCACAAAACCACCGACUUUCAUCACUCUUACUUCAUAGGUCAAAUGCUGCUGCCUUAUCCAACCUUACACCAGCAUUUAACUCUAAUGAAAGUCUAGCCACUGAAAGGUCAGUUGAAUCCUAUUUCCAUAACAAUGUCGUAGAAAGAAAUCAAGAACUGCCUCCACCAGUUGAUGAUAGGGAUUCUGUUUCAAGCAUUGCUGCUGCUAUACAUUCAGAGAGUCCGACGAUAGAUAAUGCCAUUGAAAUAGAUUCCAGAGUGUCCAUUUCUACUUCAUCUUCGAGAAGAAGAAACGAUACUUCCAGAAUUUCAGAUGUGGAUAGUGAAGAUUCACGUACACCUAGGAGGAGAAGAUUAAACUGAUAUGAGAGGUUUUCUGUCGGAGUUCAGAACUUGCGAAUUAUUUAGUAUUUCUGAGCUCGUAGAAACAUGUACAGCAGGAGUGGAGCCAACACCCGGUGAGCCCCUGUGGCCGCAUGUUCAGCACUAUGUUGGGCGGUUGUUUGUGCUCAUCUAGAUUCCUGGAUCCUCCACUUAUAUAUAUAGCAUCCCUAUAACGGGUAGAUUUUUCUAUUUGGCCUAAUUUUAUUUCCUUUUAAUUUAUCCAUAGA